CGCAGGCCCAGGUGAAGCCGUCUGGUGUGGGGAAUGCCACCAGCACCCCUCACUCCGUGAGCAAGCACAUCCCUUGCCUGUGCAGCUGACAGAGGCUUAAAGGGAGUGCCACAUGUUCCCAGGGGUCUGAGGGCGGUGUGUGUGUGUGUGUGUGGGGGGGGGGACAGACUCCCUAGAGGAAUGUCAGCCCUCUGCACAGUAGGGGACAUUUUGGCCAAACAGGUGCAUCCCUACGCCUCUCUGUGGCUGCCUCCUUCACUGCCUCAUCCUCUCCCUUGUUCUGGGGAGGAAGGGCCUGAGCAUUGGCCUGGGUCAUUUUGGGGACAAUGUUGAGCAUCAGUGAGGACAUUUUUGGCUCCUGGGAACAAGGCACUUCUCAUUGCAAAGCGCCAGCCUGGGGCGCUUCCAGAGUGGUGCACUGCUGCCCUCUAGUGGGAGCACACCACAGUGCAGCCGUCUGUCUGACGGUUUCUGCACCAGCCACACUCGGAGCAGGAUUACAAAGGAUGGGGGCUGGAAUGUCCACAUCACUGCCAACACGGUAGGCUAGCCAACCCCCUUACAUCCUUAUGCAGUUCACAACAGAGAUGCCAAAAAUGCAGGGGGCACCCCCAGGACUCCAUUCUAAGCCCAGCUGUACGGAUGUCAGCUUCUGCCCUGCCCUAUGGCUUCACCACCUGGAACCAUGACUGAUGUCCCCUGGAAUGUCACCAUGCUCAGAGCCUCCAGCUGCCCUCCCCUGGUCAGAGCUCUCGGGGAGCAAUGCUACUAGCCUUGGCUCACCCAAGGCUGCCAAGUGUUUGUGGACGCUAGAAUCUGGCUGCUGGCUGUCACCCACCCCAGCUCACCUGCUUUUUUCCCUCAGCCACACUAGGGGGAGGCAGAGAACAUCACCAGCAUCAGCCUUUACUGACCAACUAAAUGCCUUUUAUGGGUGAAGAACUGCGCCUGGCAGAUGUGGGCACCUACUGUCUACCCUGCUGCCCCAGGUCCUUGGGUGGCCCUAGGGAUGGGGUCCCUGAGGGACAGCACUGUGCUGAGCCUCACCCCCUGGAUUCAUUGUCUACUGUGGAAAUACGAUCGGGGGAUCACAGGGUCCUCAGCUUCAGCUGGAGGGGCGAUUGGACAGGCACCCAGGUGUCAGCAUCUGACCUCUCACUGAGGCACUCCCACCUAAGACCACUCGCUGUGACAUGUGCCCCAUGUGUGUCUGAUAAGUCACAGUGAGAGAGAAGCUAGAGCUCCUCAGAGAUCUAGAAUGGGUAUUAAGUCUGGGGGCCACUGGGGCCCUCUGCUCCUUACUCAGCCAUUCACUCAAGCCCGACUGCAGCAGCAGUGGGGAGGCAGGUGGAGUAUGCAGGGAGAGGCCCCAGACUACACCCUACAAGGACCGUGACCCGGGCAAGGCACCAGUGUUUGCUCAGACAUUUAUAGCUUCAACUGCGCAGUACUGUCAUCUUGUGUACACGUCUCAUUUCUCUUCUAGACUGUGCCUCUCCUGGGUAACUGCAUCUCAUGCAAUUCUCUCUCUCUCUAAAAGGCUGGUGCAAAGCACUCGCCCAUGAAGAUCAGUGAAGUGAGCGAGUGAAGGAAGGAGGAAGAUACAGCACAGACGCUGCUGCUCACCCAUCUGCCUCAUGGCUGGAUGGGGUCACAUGAUUAGUUCUAUCCAAUGGGCUACGAGUGCAGUGACACUUCUGGGCCAAGGCAUGUAAGACCCAGAGUGUGACCCUCCAGCUCUCUCUGCCCCUGUCAGGCCCACCUGGAUGGGGUUGAGAUGGUGGGGCCACAGAAUGGAAUCCGACUGGACCUUUGCCCCACUUUGGAAAGGAGCUUCCCUGGAGGGCAGCUGGACCCUCGGCAGAAUUUCAACAGCCACACGAUGCGUCUUGAAGGGAUGUUCUUCAGCAGUAAUCCAUUCAAGAGCCCCUGGUCCUGGGGUUAUGAAGAGGAGUGAGACCCCCGCCCACCUGCAGCCCACAGUCGAGGAAGGACGUCCGACGACUGAACAAGCUGGUGCAAUGUGACGGGAGCCGUAACAUCGGGGUGGAAGAAGUGAGGGCAGGGAGGCAACGAGCUUCAGGCCAAGCCUCCCCCUUCAUCCUCCUGUCUUCUUUCCUUCUUGCCUCCAGGUAGGGAGGGGAGGCAACAGGUUUCUUUCUACUCCUCAAACUCGGACUUCUGUUGAAGAAAUUCUCUAGGAAGCCCAAGUAUCUCUGCUCAGGCCUAAGACUCCCGUGGGAGGGCUGGGGGGUCCAUGCUACGGGUGGGCUUUCCCUCCCAUUCGGUGGUCUUUGUUGGGUGCACAGUGUCUCCUAGGUGUGUCUGGAAAUGGGAGGUGUUUUUGUGGUCACCAUGAUUGUCCCUCUCACCUCUGGACAGCGACUAGCAUUCAGUGGUUGAGGCCAGGAGCACUAAAUAGCCUAUAUUGUUUUGCACAGUUCCAUCCAAUUAAGAUUUGUCCCACCUCAAAUGUCAAUAGCUAUGCUAGCUGACCCUCAGGACCCAAGGCUGGACAAUGGAAGCAGCCAGCCCUACCUACGAGGGGCUUUGAAGAAUGCAGGGAAAACUCAGAAAAAAACAUCUCAACGUGUUCUCACAGGACCUCAGAUUCUGCCACCAGAGCUCUAUGUUUCGGGAUCAAGAAGCCUGUUGCCCUGUUCUAAGGGUACCCAGACAAAAGGCACACACCCCAAGGAGAGAGGUCAAGCCACAGGCAUGAUCAGCUAUAACUUUAGAUCACUGGCUUUGGAGGAAGCCAGCUGCCACGUUGUAAGGACACUCAAGCAGUUUAUGGAGAGGCUCAAGUGGCAAGGAACUGAAGCCUUCUGCCACCAGCCAGGGUGGAACUGAGGUCUCCUGCUCUCUGCCACGUGAAGGAACCAUCACGGAAGUGGCUCCUCCAGCCCCAGUCAAGCCUUCAGAUGGCUGCAGCCCUGGCCAUCAGCUUGACUGCAACCUUAGGAGAGAUUCUGCACCAGAAUGCCCCACUGAGCUGCUCCCAGAUUCCUGGCCCUGAGAAAGUGUAUGUGAUAAUAAAUGUCUGUUGCUA